GGAAGCGCUGUAAAAAAGAAAAAAGUAAAAACAGAGAGGUGUUAAGUGGCGCACGCCGUGAGCGUAGAGGAAAUGGAACGCGCAGACGUGACGAACGCUCCGCCUACAGCGCCCACGCCGCGCAGAAACAGCGUCACGCUCGCGUCUGAUCUCCAGCCACCGUUGUGUUUCACCCAAAACACACCUCGGGCCCCAGUAAAAUGGCCCCCUGCUGAAAGGAAGCCAGAAUCCUGGUUAAAGAAAUGACAGAUCCGUUUGCGGGUUCGUAAACAUGACAAAGAGGCUGUCUAUUGGCUACCUGUCCCUGUCCCCCCUCCCCCACCCCCCGAUUCAUUACUUUGUCGUUGAUACAUGUAAAAAAAAAAAAAAGGUAAGCAUGCGUCUUUGUCUCCUGGCUUAAUGAGCUCUUUAAAUGCAAGGUGGAAGAAAAGAUUUUGCGCAGUGCCUGAAACAUGUUGGAAGUGCAAUGUGGUGCUGGGUGCUGUGACUGGCGGGGGUGCAAUAUAACGGGUGAGGGAACUGGCCUUGUAGCCUAAGGGUCACAGGUUCGAUUCCUGGGUAGGACACUGCCGUUGUACCCUUGAGCAAGGUGCUUAACCUGCAUUGCUUCGCUAUACAUCCGGCUGUAUAAAUGGAUGCUAUACAAAAGCUGUGGAAGUCGCUCUGGAUAACGGCCUCUGUUAUUGCCUGUAAUGCAGUGUAAUGCAGUGUAAUGUAAUGUAAUGCAGUGUAAUGUAGUGUAAUGUAAUGUAAUGUAAUGCAGUGUAAUGUAAUGUAAUGUAAUGUAAUGCAGUGUAAUGCAGUGUAAUGUAAUGCAGUGUAAUGCAGUGUAAUGUAAUGUAAUGUAAUGCAGUGUAAUGUAAUGUAAUGUAAUGCAGUGUAAUGUAACCCUGGCUCUGUGUUGCAGAAAGCUCACUCACGCUGGAUGGAGUAGGUCUUUCUCAGGAUGAAGCCCGAGCUGUGAUUGAGCCGGCACUCCAUGUUGUGGGCGACGGGGACGAGGAGCGACAGCGUGACGUGGGGGGCGGGGGUGUGGUUUUGGGCAGUCAGAACGUGCACGCCAUCCCGGAACACACUCAGGAGGAACCCGGGGUCCGGGGACACUUUGACGGAGCACAGCAGUUCGCUCACCAUCCCAGGGGCAAGGUCAAAGGUCAUAGAAUCUGGGGCAUGCGUGCACACGCACGCAUGCACGCACGCAGACACACGCACGCACACGCACACACACACACACACACAGAAGAAGCAUGAAAAAUGUACUAGGUUAGCUACAUGGUCCAAAUUGUGGUUGGGGAUUUUCACUCUGUUACAAGGUUAUUGGGGGGGGGUCUAAGGGAAAUCAUCAAGUGGUCCCCCCCCAAUAUUAUCACGUUGUAUUGGCUGUUUGUUGUCUCCCCCAAAAUUGAAA